UGGCUGGCUAGUAGUCGGUUUAUUUUGUAAAUAAAAUCCUAUUAAUGUUUAAUAUUUAUAUAAUUUAUCACAUUUACAAUAAGUAUAAUAACUUCAAAUUUAUCGUGGUCUAAAAAAUAUGCAUACAAGUAUUACAACAGCUGAUUUAAAUGAGUGAAAGACGAAUACUUCAAUGUGAACUACGACAGUCGAUAAUGCGUUUUGCGUGUUAUUAUGGAGGUUUGUUUUUUGAAGGAAGAGUUUGAAAGAUGUAGAUUUAAGCUCGUCUGCAACUACGUGUAUUUAAUCAACAUAGCGUUUUAUAAACGCCACGACAAUAUUACAGCAACAGAUGUGCGAUAAAACUGAAUGUAUAGGUCUCGAUCUACGUGUUUAUGUGCGUUCGAGUGGUUUUUCGUACAUAAUAUUUUUUUAGAAACGAGUUGGAGGAUCACCGACGUAUAAUGGCCUUGAAAUAUUUAGACAUUGGAUUAAAAAGAUUGCAGCUACAAAUGUUUCAUAUACCAUUAUAUUAAUCGGAAAUAUAACAAAUAUAACGAAACGAUGUAGUAAGCGUGUACAUUUUAAGUAGUUUUUAGAAAAUUGGCAAAAAUGAUUGAAAACAACAUUUUUUAUGGAACACUUUUAAAGUAUAUGACAAAAUCAAAUGCAACAUUGUUGAACUGAAUUUAGAGGUACCUGCUUUUAUUUCAAGAACAAAUUUUCAGGACUCUAAU